GAUGAACGCUAGCGACAGGCUUAACACAUGCAAGUCGAGGGGCAGCGGGGGAGUAGCAAUACUCCCGCCGGCGACCGGCGCACGGGUGAGUAACACGUAUGAAACCUGCCCGUAGCAGGGGGAUAAGCGGAAGAAAUUCCGUCUAAUACCGCGUAACAACCCAUGGAGGCAUCUCCGUGGGUUUAAAGGAAGCGAUUCCGGCUACGGAUGGUCAUGCGUCGCAUUAGCUUGUUGGCGGGGUAACGGCCCACCAAGGCGACGAUGCGUAGGGGUUCUGAGAGGAAGGUCCCCCACACUGGUACUGAGACACGGCCCAA
rnacentral:rRNA from 1 species